rnacentral:sRNA from 1 species
AAGGUCUCCGUUGGUGAUACAGCGGAGGGAUCAUUACCGAGUUUACAACUCCCAAACCCAAUGUGAACGUUACCAAUCUGUUGCCUCGGCGGGAUUCUCUGCCCCGGGCGCGUCGCAGCCCCGGAUCCCAUGGCGCCCGCCGGAGGACCAACUCAAACUCUUUUUUUCUCUCCGUCGCGGCCUACGUCGCGGCUCUGUUUUAUUUUUGCUCUGAGCCUUUCUCGGCGACCCUAGCGGGCGUCUCGAAAAUGAAUCAAAACUUUCAACAACGGAUCUCUUGGUUCUGGCAUCGAUGAAGAACGCAGCGAAAUGCGAUAAGUAAUGUGAAUUGCAGAAUUCAGUGAAUCAUCGAAUCUUUGAACGCACAUUGCGCCCGCCAGUAUUCUGGCGGGCAUGCCUGUCCGAGCGUCAUUUCAACCCUCGAACCCCUCCGGGGGGUCGGCGUUGGGGAUCGGCCCCUCACCGGGCCGCCCCCGAAAUACAGUGGCGGUCUCGCCGCAGCCUCUCCUGCGCAGUAGUUUGCACACUCGCACCGGGAGCGCGGCGCGGCCACAGCCGUAAAACACCCCAAACUCUGAAAUGUUGACCUCGGAUCAGGUAGGAAUACCCGCUGAACUUAAGCA